rnacentral:siRNA from 1 species
AGUAAUUGAAUCAUGAUGUUGUGG